AGUGAACGCUGGCGGUAGGCCUAACACAUGCAAGUCGAACGGCAGCACAGUAAGAGCUUGCUCUUACGGGUGGCGAGUGGCGGACGGGUGAGGAAUACAUCGGAAUCUACUUUUUCGUGGGGAAUAACGUAGGUAAACUUACGCUAUUACCGCAUACGACCUCCGGUUGAAAGCAGGGGAUCUUCGUACCUUGCGCGAUUGAUUGAGCCUAUGUCGGAUUAGCUAGUUGGCGGGGUAAAGGCCCACCAAGGCGACGAUCCGUAGCUGGUCUGAGAGGAUGAUCAGCCACACUGGAACUGAGACACGGUCCAGACUCCUACGGGAGGCAGCAGUGGGGAAUAUUGGACAAUGGGCGCAAGCCUGAUCCAGCAAUACCGCGUGGGUGAAGAAGGCCUUCGGGUUGUAAAGCCCUUUUGUUGGGAAAGAAAAGCAGCAGGUUAAUACCACGCUGUUCUGACGGUACCCAAAGAAUAAGCACCGGCUAACUUCGUG
rnacentral:rRNA from 1 species